AUUGAACGCUGGCGGCAGGCCUAACACAUGCAAGUCGAACGAGGGGCGGACGGGCGUGCUAUGUCUGGGAAACUGCCUGAUGGAGGGGGAAAACUACGGGAAACGGUAUCCAAUACCGCAUCCCAUCGGAUGUGCCCAGUUGGGAUUAUCUAGUAGGUGGGGCAACGGCUCACCUAGGCGACGAUCCCCAGCUGGUCGGAGAGGAUGACCAGCAACACUGGAACUGAGACACGGUCCAGACUCCUACGGGAGGCAGCAGUGGGGAAUAUUGCACAAUGGGCGCAAGCCUGAUGCAGCCAUGCCGCGUGUGUGAAGAAGGCCUUCGGGUUGUAAAGCACUUUCAGCGGGGAGGCGUUACCCGCAGAAGAAGCACCGGCUAACUCCGUGCCAGCAGCCGCGGUAAUAC
rnacentral:rRNA from 1 species